GAUCAGAAGAGGCUGGUCGAGAUAGUGAAGGGCAUUGAGGAAAUCCUUGAAGCUGGUGGAUUCUCAUUGAAGGAAUGGGUUUGGUCUGGUCAAAGUGGGAGGUCUGGAUCCGAAAAAACAAACAAAGAGUUUUCAAGCCUGAUUCCUGAGAAAACAGUGGUGCUUCCUAAUCAGCUGGGGGAAGGGGAUGAUAAAGCCCUUGGAAUUGGAUACCUGGCAGAGGAGGAUCGGAUGUAUAUAAUGACUUCUGUUAACUUUUCCAAAAGGAAAAAGAAGGUGAGGAUUGAGCAGGAUCUUCUUGAACAGGAAGUUAGGUUGAGGACCCCAAACCCAUUGACGAGAAGACACCUAUUGAGUCAGGUGGCAGGACUCUAUGAUCCACUGGGUCUCGUCACACCAGCUAAACAGAAGGGCGCGAUCCUCGUUAGGAAAGCAUUCCAGGAAGCUGGAAGUGGAUGUCUAACAAAACAUUCAUGGGAUACUGCGCUCUCUGAAGGAAUCCGGGGAGAAGCUAUUGAUUUAUUUGAGGAGUAUGUACAACUCCGGAAAGUGAAGUUCCACAGAAGUCUUACGCCUGCGAACUGGAAAGGAAAACCAUGGGGAGUCACUUUUUCGGACGGCAGUGACAGAACCUAUGGUGCAGUAUUAUAUCUUAGAUGGAAUACAAGCCAAGGAGUGGAUGUUCGCUUAGUUGAGUCUAAAGCCAAGCUGACACCACUAGAACUGAAGGGGGAUCCAGUAAAAGCUGAAGUCUGUGGCGCAGUCUUUGCAACACGUCUUAGGAAAUACUUUGAAAAACAUGGACGGAUCAAAGUAGAGAAAUGGUUCCAUCUUGUGGAUAGCCAGAUGGUACUGGGAGCCAUUCAGCGCGACAGCUAUGGGUUUCAAACUUUCUUUGCAAAUAGGAUCGGAGAGAUUCAGAAGACAGGAGCGAUUGGCGACUGGUGGUGGAUUCCAGGGAAUCUAAACAUCGCAGAUAUUAUCACACGAGGGGCAAGCCCUAAGGAUCUUGAUGAAGAUUCCAUUUGGCAGAAUGGACCAGAGUUCCUUAAAAGGUCAGUUGACAAAUGGCCCAAGAGAUCAGCAGCUGAAAUUGCUGAG
ensembl:lncRNA